rnacentral:rRNA from 1 species
GACGAACGCUGGCGGCGUGCUUAACACAUGCAAGUCGAACGGUAAGGCCCUUCGGGGUACACGAGUGGCGAACGGGUGAGUAACACGUGGGUGAUCUGCCCUGCACUUCGGGAUAAGCCUGGGAAACUGGGUCUAAUACCGGAUAGGACCACUGCCUGCAUGGGUGGUGGUGGAAAGCUUUUGCGGUGUGGGAUGGGCCCGCGGCCUAUCCGCUUGUUGGUGGGGUGAUAGCCUACCAAGGCGACGACGGGUAGCCGGCCUGAGAGGGUGACCGGCCACACUGGGACUGAGAUACGGCCCAGACUCCUACGGGAGGCAGCAGUGGGGAAUAUUGCACAAUGGGCGCAAGCCUGAUGCAGCGACGCCGCGUGAGGGAUGACGGCCUUCGGGUUGUAAACCUCUUUCAGCACCGACGAAGCGCAAGUGACGGUAGGUGCAGAAGAAGGACCGGCCAACUACGUGCCAGCGCCGCCGUAA